GCUGUAGCUCAGUGGUAGGGCAUCUGCUUUGCCUGCUAAAGGUCUCAGAUUCAAUCCCUGGCAUCUCCA